rnacentral:rRNA from 1 species
GAUGAACGCUGGCGGCGUGCCUAAUACAUGCAAGUCGAGCGAAUGGAUUAAGAGCUUGCUCUUAUGAAGUUAGCGGCGGACGGGUGAGUAACACGUGGGUAACCUGCCCAUAAGACUGGGAUAACUCCGGGAAACCGGGGCUAAUACCGGAUAACAUUUCGAACCGCAUGGUUCGAAAUUGAAAGGCGGCUUCGGCUGUCACUUAUGGAUGGACCCGCGUCGCAUUAGCUAGUUGGUGAGGUAACGGCUCACCAAGGCAACGAUGCGUAGCCCACCGUAGAGGGUGAUCGACCACACUGGGACUGAAGCACGGCCCAGACUCCUACGGGAGGAAGCAUUCGGGAAUCUUCCGCAAUGGACGAACGUCUGACUGAGCAACGCCGCGUGAGUGAUGAAGGCUUUCGGGUCGUAAAGCUCUGUUGUUAGGGAAGAACAAGUGCUAGUUGAAUAAGCUGGCACCUUGCCGGUACCUAACCAGAAAGCCACGGCUAACUACGUGCCAGCAGCCGCCGUAA